rnacentral:rRNA from 1 species
GAUGAACGCUAGCGGCAGGCUUAACACAUGCAAGUCGUGGGGCAGCGCGAGGUAGCAAUACUUUGGCGGCGACCGGCAAACGGGUGCGGAACACGUACGCAACCUUCCUCAGAGCGGGGAAUAGCCUCUCGAAAGAGAGAUUAAUACCCCAUAGUAUCUCGAAACUGCAUGGUUUGAGAUUAAAGCUUCGGCACUUUGAGAUGGGCGUGCGGCUGAUUAGGUAGUUGGUAGGGUAACGGCCUACCAAGCCAACGAUCAGUAGCUGAUGUGAGAGCAUGAUCAGCCACACGGGCACUGAGACACGGGCCCGAUCCCUACGGGAGGCAGCAGUGAGGAAUAUUGGUCAAAUGGAGGAAACUCUGAACCAGCCAUGCCGCGUGAAGGAUGAAGGUCCU